UUUUGACUUUUCCUUUCAGUUUCUUUCCAACAAGGAGCUCCAUUACCAGGAAUAAAUAAAUAAAUAAAUAAAGAAUCCCUCCUACUUGUUUAAUUUGUUGUGUCUUCUUUUCUUCAUUUUUUCCAUGUUUGUGGUAUCAUUGCUUUCCCAUAUCAUGAUCCAAUCUUCUUACAUUCUUGGGCUCAAGUAUUGUCCAAGGUUCUCCGAAGACUAGACCGGCUCUAAUACCAGUGAUACACUACGAUUCAUAGAGAGAGAUAUUGCAAAACAAACUACCAAGAUACAGAGAGAGGAACAACAUCGGGUUAUAUUCCAUUUGUUAUUUUUUACAAUCUCAAUCCAGGGUCUCCAACUUUGGCAGAGUGUAUUUGUAUUGAAAUAUUGGAGAAGAUAACUCCAAUCUGAAAUCUUUCUAAAAAACACUCGAGAAAGGCCCCAGAAAAGUACGAGGUUUCCCUAUCACUUGUUUCUAAGUACUUGAGGUUCAUUUGUUAUUCACUGUAAAUAUCUGCAUUCUAGUGAACAAUAUGUAUCUAGAAUCACCAAAUGUCCAAGAUAAAUUAAAGUUUUAUACUGUAAAAUGAAAAACUUUUGGAGAUUGCCACUGAAUAGCUUGGAUAAAA